CUUACUACCCACCAUCCCAACGCACCGGUGGCUCGCGGUGUUCGAGACAUGGUCAAUCUCCUUGUCACCUGCAGGGCGCCCGCUUGUCUUCCAAAUUCACUCCCCUCCGUUGCUCCCAAAUAUAACAUUGACGCUACUAGGUUUCAAAUUCCUCUCCCCCUUUCUAACAAUUCUAGAACCCUCUCUCCCGGUCUCCAUCUUCUCCACUCUCCCUAUCCAAUCCCUAACUCUCCCAAACCCAUUCGUCUCUCCUCCGCCGCCGCCGCCGCCGCCGCCGCCGCAGCCGACGCCGGAGAAUCCAUGGCCACGACCGCUGCCGCCGCGGCCGCGGAGGAGCCCAAGCCCUUCGCCGUCCUCUUCGUCUGCCUCGGUAACAUCUGCCGAAGCCCUGCCGCGGAGGCCGUGUUCACGGACCUCGUCCGCAAGAGAGGCCUCCAAUCCAAGUUCAGGAUCGACUCCGCCGGAACCAUCGGCUACCAUGAGGGUCGCCCUGCAGAUUCACGGAUGAGGGCGGCGGCAAAGAGACGGGGGAUCGAAGUAACCUCGAUCUCGCGGCCGAUAAGGCCCUCGGAUUUCAGAGAGUUCGAUCUUGUUCUUGCCAUGGAUAUGCAGAAUAGAGAUGAUAUAUUGAGUGCUUAUGAGAGGUGGAGAUUCAAGGAGCCGCUGCCUGAGGAUGGACCAAAGAAGGGCAUGAACUUAUGUUAUGCUACAAAAUUUGGAGGAAGAGAACUUCUGUGGAAAGAAGUUCUAUUGGAAAAAUUGGGAUUCUUUGUUAUCGCGCGUAAUUUCUUCUUUCUUGUGUAUUUCUGCUUCUUUAGGCAUUCAAGUUUCAAACCAAAGUUAUAUGUAAAGUGUUUUAAAUAACUUAAUGUUUGGACACAUUGCGGAAGUGAAACACAAUAUGCAGCAUAUCAAUUAGCAAGCAGAAAUUGCAGAACUUUUCAAGUGGGAGAGAAAGUACAAGUUUGCAAGACUUGAGUUAAAAAAAUUUACAUCAACAUUUUAGUUUGUGACAUUAUUGAAGAAGUUCUGAAUAUGUGCCAUGAAUUUUAUCAGGAUUAUUGUAUUAUCAUAUGCAAACUUUAUUUAUUUCAAAUUUUUGAUGCAUCAAAAGGAUUAUUUAAAGGCUUAAACUCUACACCUUGUGGACCUAUUAUAGACGUACUGUGUUUAGUGAUUUCAAUACAUUCUCUUGUUAACCCACUCAUCAUUGGUGAUUCAUUUUUUGAAUGAGUCAGAACAAUCCAACUUACUCAACUUAAGCAAGCUUUUGAUUUAGAUUGUUCUACUAAGAAGUUUGGCUCGGUUCUUGUUGAGAAAUUCGAAUCUAAAAUGAAUUUGUUUAGUUUGGUCCAAAUCUAUCUGUUCGUGACCAAAUCAAAUGAACUCUACCUAACCUAUCCUAAAACAAUUUGAUUUAUAUAUUAUGAAGCAAAACGACAUAUAUGAUAUGCCAAAUUUAGUCACAUAAUAAUUUACAGCUUAAACUAUAUAUUGUUGUGAUGCUCACAAUGAAUACCACGAGUAGGCCCUUGUAAUCAUAGUUGUAAGCGACGAGGAGCCAAAAGACACAAAUUGAAUGUGGCAAGGGAGACGAAGGAGCUGAGUGGGAAGAGGAAGGGAGGAGUUAGGUGGAAUCAGUUUAGGAGAUUUUGCGUUAGGUAUAGUAGGGAGGAAGAAAAGGUAAAGGAACAAUUUACACAGGAUAUGUUUUGUUGAAUUGAUCUUUUCAAUGUUUAGUUUGUCACAUUUCGUGCAUAUUCGAUCUAAUUCAAGGAUUAACAGAAUAGUACAAUUCUCUUUGUAGUGUGUAAUUAUCGACCUUCUCAUGAACAUUUAGUUGGUUCCUAUGUAUCUCGGAGACUUGAAUUGUGCCCUUUCCAUCAUUUUUAUCAAAUGCACCACAUUAGCCGUCCAACCAAGAACAAUUCAACCUAGCCUUAAUUUGCAUUGCUCAUGGUGAACACGGCAAGCUGGCCUACCUAGGCGUUGACCCUAACAUCGUACGUUGUGAGCAAGUCUUGUAGUUGUUGUUAUGUGUCACAAGGAUGCACAUGUCGAAAUGUGGGGACGAAGGAGGUGAGGAUGGCAAGGAAGCAUUAGAUGUAGUUCAUUUGGAAGAAGAGAGAGGAGGAGGCGGAUAAGAGCAGGAAGAAGGUGGAAUUAUUAGGGGAGAAUUUGCAAGGCGGAUAAGAGCAGGAAGAAGGUGGAAUUGGGCAAAGGAAGAGUCUGCAUCUGUAGUUGCGGCAUAAGAAGCCACAUGCUGCAGGCGAACACAAGGAGGAAGAUUUAGGAGGUGAAGAUGACAAGGAAGCGUAGGAUGUGCUAUAUUCUUAGAGGAAGAUAAUGAGGAAUAAGAAAGGAGGAGAUCAUGGAAUCGCUCGCAGAGAGUUCACAGUAGCUUUGUGGGUAUAUAUCAUCGGGAGCAGAAAGGGGUUGAGGAAUAGUGCUAAGGGGGUAUUUUUGUUAGAUUGAUCUUCUAAAUGAUUUGUUUAUCCCAUCUCGUGCUUAUGCAAGUUAAUCGCAAGGAUUGACAGAAUAGUACCAUUCCCUUUGCAGUGUGUAAUUACCUAUCCUUUUUGUCAA